ACUGGAACUUUCCUUUUCCUUUCCUUGCUUGUUGGUCGUGGAUUCUCCAAAUUUCCGAUAACACUGAGCAAAAAGUCUCUUUAUGCAUGAUCUUCGUCCUCCAGGAGCCGUGCCUCUGAAAGAAAGAAAGAAUGAAAGAAUGAAUGAAUAAAUGAAUGAUGUGAUGAAGAGGAACUAACGAGCUAAUUCUCAGGGUGCAUUGGGAAUAAUAGUUGAUUGGUGCACACAUUCCUUCCACUGGGAGCUUGCUGCCCUGAGCAAUGCAUCCAUCUCAUCAUUGAUAUGCCGCUCUGCCUUUGCAGGUCUUGUCGUGGUGGAAAAUCAAGAAAUUCACCGCCGAUCCUUGCUUGACGCU
rnacentral:sRNA from 2 species